rnacentral:tRNA from 1 species
AUUUAUAUAGUUUAAAAAAAAUUAUAUAUUUUCACUAUAUAGAUAAUUUAUAAAAUUUAUAAAUG